CCCUAACUUCGUGCAGAAAACCCCUUCAGCUAUUUCCCGAUCGAGCCUUCGUCCAUGCCCGACGCAAGGAUCGAAAUCGGGCAUCAGAAUGAUUAUUUUUUUUCCUAAGAUCCCCAUUCGGAGUAACGAGCGGUUGGACUAGAUUGGGAUGAAUCGAACGUUUUCUGGAGGAGUGACCGACGAUUGCAGAGAUGCGUAGGGCGUUGGCAAACAGUGCUGUGUAAUUAUAAACAAUAUCAACCGUCGGGGCUGAGCCAAGACAUGCGACAUCAAUGUGGCUUUGAGAGGGUCUCUGAACUUGUGUAUAUGCCUAUCAAAAUCUGCAUUUGCUGUGAUCAAGGGACCGAGCCAAGACAUGCCACAGCAAUGUGACUUGGAGAUGGUCUGAAAACUUCCAUGCGCCUAUCAAAGUCUGUAUUUGCAGUGUUCGAGGUAUGCCUCUGAUGUUGUGCUGCAAGCAUUAAAGUCCCCUCCAUAACCUCUGGUUUGAGUUCAGGAAAGCUGUAAACUGCUUUAAUAGGUGCAUGCAUCUUAGGCGAUCGACUCCACUUUCUUGUGUCCACUUGAUCUUAUAGUGCAGUUUUGUCGCCUUCU